rnacentral:rRNA from 1 species
ACGAACGCUGGCGGCGUGCCUAAUACAUGCAAGUCGAACGCUUCUUUCCUCCCGAGUGCUUGCACUCAAUUGGAAAGAGGAGUGGCGGACGGGUGAGUAACACGUGGGUAACCUACCCAUCAGAGGGGGAUAACACUUGGAAACAGGUGCUAAUACCGCAUAACAGUUUAUGCCGCAUGGCAUAAGAGUGAAAGGCGCUUUCGGGUGUCGCUGAUGGAUGGACCCGCGGUGCAUUAGCUAGUUGGUGAGGUAACGGCUCACCAAGGCCACGAUGCAUAGCCGACCUGAGAGGGUGAUCGGCCACACUGGGACUGAGACACGGCCCAGACUCCUACGGGAGGCAGCAGUAGGGAAUCUUCGGCAAUGGACGAAAGUCUGACCGAGCAACGCCGCGUGAGUGAAGAAGGUUUUCGGAUCGUAAAACUCUGUUGUUAGAGAAGAACAAGGACGUUAGUAACUGAACGUCCCCUGACGGUAUCUAACCAGAAAGCCACGGCUAACUACGUGCCAGCAGCCGCGGUAAUACGUAGGUGGCAAGCGUUGUCCGGAUUUAUUGGGCGUAAAGCGAGCGCAGGCGGUUUCUUAAGUCUGAUGUGAAAGCCCCCGGCUCAACCGGGGAGGGUCAUUGGAAACUGGGAGACUUGAGUGCAGAAGAGGAGAGUGGAAUUCCAUGUGUAGCGGUGAAAUGCGUAGAUAUAUGGAGGAACACCAGUGGCGAAGGCGGCUCUCUGGUCUGUAACUGACGCUGAGGCUCGAAAGCGUGGGGAGCAAACAGGAUUAGAUACCCUGGUAGUCCACGCCGUAAACGAUGAGUGCUAAGUGUUGGAGGGUUUCCGCCCUUCAGUGCUGCAGCAAACGCAUUAAGCACUCCGCCUGGGGAGUACGACCGCAAGGUUGAAACUCAAAGGAAUUGACGGGGGCCCGCACAAGCGUGGAGCAUGUGGUUUAAUUCGAAGCAACGCGAAGAACCUUACCAGGUCUUGACAUCCUUUGACCACUCUAGAGAUAGAGCUUUCCCUUCGGGGACAAAGUGACAGGUGGUGCAUGGUUGUCGUCAGCUCGUGUCGUGAGAUGUUGGGUUAAGUCCCGCAACGAGCGCAACCCUUAUUGUUAGUUGCCAUCAUUUAGUUGGGCACUCUAGCGAGACUGCCGGUGACAAACCGGAGGAAGGUGGGGAUGACGUCAAAUCAUCAUGCCCCUUAUGACCUGGGCUACACACGUGCUACAAUGGGAAGUACAACGAGUCGCUAGACCGCGAGGUCAUGCAAAUCUCUUAAAGCUUCUCUCAGUUCGGAUUGCAGGCUGCAACUCGCCUGCAUGAAGCCGGAAUCGCUAGUAAUCGCGGAUCAGCACGCCGCGGUGAAUACGUUCCCGGGCCUUGUACACACCGCCCGUCACACCACGAGAGUUUGUAACACCCGAAGUCGGUGAGGUAACCUUUUUGGAGCCAGCCGCCUAAGGUGGGAUAGAUGAUUGGGGUG